GGAUGUGUGGCAAUCUGCCUGUGACAUCUGUCACCCAGUGGAUCCCAGGGUUGAAUUUGGCUGACCUGGCUGGCUAGGCAGGUGUCUCCUUCCUCCCUCAAUGCUCCAUGGGCCUCGGUCUCAAAGCUGCGUGCUCCGUCGAAGAGGACGACCACUCCCAAUAGAGAAGGACCUCUCUUUGGUUGAAGGUGUAUGAGUAGCUGUGCUCUGCUGCUAGAACCUCCAGACAAGCUCUCAAGGAUCUUCUUGUACAAAUGCAUUAGAAAAUGUUACUACUGUGCUAUAAGUGCAUCAAUAGCUGACAGCUUCU
ensembl:misc_RNA 7SK 7SK RNA